ACUAUGAUUUGUUUUACAGUAAGGCCCAAGUCUGAAUUUGCUCAUUACAAAUUUGGAUUGCUUGCCCAGUUAGAGCUAUAUUGUGCUUAAAAUUGAAUAGACUUGGGCAAAUUCAGAUAUGACAAUCAAGGCUGUAUGUAAUAUAUUUCUAACAUGCUAAGAGGACUCUUAUCUUGCCAAAAAUUCGUGUGUAAUUUUCAUUAAACUGAAUAGGGUUCAGUGCUAUCUUGCACUGUCAAAAUUUGAAGUACUGUAAAUGUGUUGAACUAGUUGUGAUGGCUCAAAUAUGGAAAACUAUUUAGGUACACUUAUUUAUAGCUUCCAGGCCAUCAAACUUUUUUUUUAUUUGGUAAAUCUGAUAGUUACUUGCAUUGUUGUGCACAUGAUUAGAUCUUUUAUAGCCAUUAUAAUACUCGUUCUGUGUACUGAAAGUAAUAUCAUUUUUGUGAAAUAAUGUAGUAGGUGAAGUUUUUCUGUCAUAACAUUAUUGACAGAAUGCUGGACCUAGUUUGAGAGCUUAAUUGUGAAGGGAGCUAGUGGACCUAGAAGCAUAGGGUUAUGAUUAGGAUUUGAAAUUGCAUUUGCAGAUCACUGGUCUGGGGCUCUUGGCCUUAGAGCACUAUUUAUGAAUGUUUAGCAGUGAUGUCGUGUCCAUCAAACUAUGAUCGAAGCAUGUUAACUAGAUCCAUUUUCAUGAUACAUGGUUGUGUAUAUUUUUUUUACAAUUUACAUGCUACCAUCUAUUGAAAAUUUGCUCUUUACAAAUUUGGAUUGCUUGCCCAGUCUGAAGUUGACUAUAUUGUGCUUAAAAUUGAUUGUCAUAUCUGGAGCAUGACCAUGUGCAUAAUAGGAACAAGGUCAGCAUACAUCAAUGCUGCAAAGCUAGCUCUUGCAGAUGCCGGGAUUCCAUAGUGCUUGGGUAUGUGUGUUAUAAUCCUUUGCUUGGUAAGAUGCCUAACUACUUUUUUCAUAUCUUUGAUAGGCUAAGAACCGUGUGGUACAACAGAACUCAAAGUAAUUCUAACGUGCUAUAUCAGAUCUGAAUUACUUAGAAGAUAGUGCUGGAGGUCCAGAUGUCACAGUUGGUAUUCUUGUGAAAAUGGACCAAGUUGACUCUUCUGGAGUGGAUGCCUCCAAGGAUGGAACAAGUCCAUGAUGAGGCAGUCGAACAAUAUUUCUCCAUGGAAGAAUAUCAAGUCCAAGCUUUGAUUGAAGGCUCCAGCAACUGUUUAGGUUGAACUGUGUUGAGUCCAUUUGUACAAAAAAGAAUUGAUGAGCUUGAAUAGUAUUAUGUAAUUUGAAAUUAUAUAGCUUGAAUUGUACUCUAUCAUCUCAAAAUAUGUAAUGGAAUUGUGUUCUGUCAUUUGAUAAUGAGAUUGACUCAAGUGCAAACCAAA